rnacentral:piRNA from 1 species
UGUCAAGCUGACGAGACCAGAGUG